rnacentral:ncRNA from 1 species
AAAAGACUUAGUCCUAACCUUACCGUUGGUUGUUGCCAGGUUUAUACAUGCGAGUAUCCGCGCUCCAGUGUAGACGCCCUGGGUACCCUAAUCUAGGUCGACAGGAGCAGGCAUCAGGCACACCCACAACGUAGCCCAAAACGCCUUGCAAUUGCCACGCCCCCACGGGUUUUCAGCAGUAGUUAACAUUAAGCAAUGAGUGUAAACUUGACUUAGCCAUGGCAAAUCUAGGGUCGGUAAAUCCUGUGCCAGCCACCGCGGUCAUACAGGAGACCCAAGUCAACGUUAUAACGGCGUAAAGUGUGGUCACAUGUUAUCUAAAGUAGCUAAGAUUAAAAGGCAACUGAGCUGUCGCAAGCCCAAGAUGCCCAUAAGGCCGCUACCAAAGAAAAUCUUAGACAAACGAUCUAUUGAAGCCCACGAAAGCCAGGGCCCAAACUGGGAUUAGAUACCCCACUAUGCCUGGCCCUAAAUCUUGAUGCUCGAUCUUACCGGAGCAUCCGCCCGAGAACUACGAGCACAAACGCUUAAAACUCUAAGGACUUGGCGGUGUUCCAAACCCACCUAGAGGAGCCUGUUCUGUAAUCGAUGAUCCACGAUAUACCUAACCAUUUCUUGCCAAAGCAGCCUAUAUACCGCCGUCGCCAGCCCACCCAGCAUGAAGGACCAACAGUGGACGCAAUAGCCUUACCCCGCUAAUAAGACAGGUCAAGGUAUAGCCUAUGGAAUGGGAGCAAUGGGCUACAUUUUCUAGACUAGAACAUACGGCAAAGGGAUAUGAAACUGUCCCUGGAAGGCGGAUUUAGCAGUAAAGUGGGACAAUCGAGCCCUCUUUAAGCCGGCCCUGGAACACGUACACACCGCCCGUCACCCUCCUCAAAAGCGACCCCCCCCCCCCAUACCUAAUAAGCUAAGCAGCCAAAGAGGAGGUAAGUCGUAACA